ACGGAAGGCAGCAGUGGGGAAUAUUGGACAAUGGGGGAAACCCUGAUCCAGCGACGCCGCGUGAGUGAAGAAGUAUUUCGGUAUGUAAAGCUCUAUCAGCAAGGAAGAAAAUGACGGUACUUGACUAAGAAGCUCCGGCUAAAUACGUGCCAGCGGCCGCGGUAAUACGUAUGGAGCAAGCGUUAUCCGGAUUUACUGGGUGUAAAGGGAGCGUAGACGGCAAAGCAAGUCUGAAGUGAAAUCCCGGGGCUCAACCCCGGAACUGCUUUGGAAACUGUUUAGCUAGAGUGCAGGAGAGGUAAGCGGAAUUCCUAGUGUAGCGGUGAAAUGCGGAGAUAUUAGGAGGAACACCAGUGGCGAAGGCGGCUUACUGGACUGUAACUGACGUUGAGGCUCGAAAGCGUGGGGAGCAAACAGGAUUAGAUACCCUGGUA
rnacentral:rRNA from 1 species